AAUAGUUACUUGAAAAGAAUUGUCAGUGCAGUGUUGUCGGAGUAAAGAUCAGAAUGCUUGGGACUGCUUCUCUUGUAAGGCGCGUGGGAGUUGCUCUUCCACUGUCGCGUUGUAUGUCAACGCAAAGUGGAUCUCAAGCAACGUCCGGUGCUGUUCCACCUCAACCUCCCAGAGCCAGAUCAGCUAGACCCUUGAGAAACGCAAGAUUGGAGAACAUUGCCAAAAGCCAUGAAGCAAAGGCAGCUUUCUAUGAGAAAACUAGCAAGUCCAGUGCCCUCAUGUUCGGCACAAUGCUUGUCAUGGUAGUUGGACUAUAUCUUUUGUCUGCGAAUUAUGUCCGCAAUACGAGAGGUAGAAGUUCUGACCGGUUUUAGAACAUUCCCAAGGCUUCCAAUGCUGUCUUAUGAAAUGGACUGGCUCAAUUUCCUGCACUGGCACACAUGAGCAAGUGAUAACUAUAUGGCAUCUUCUUCACUGGCUGGUGUCAAUCAACUUCUCGCAAGUGUAAGGUCCCUCCUAAUGUCAAGAAUUGUCUUACCAGCUGCACUUGGUUAGUUCUCUCGUCUUGAAUGAAUCGUACCCGCAAGGUGGAUGACUGGCUGCCAUUGCCAGUAAAACAUUGUGUUGUUAUAGCGUAUAGCUGUAAGCAAUUAGAUCUACCCGUCCAUUUGAUUCUUUCUUUAUGAUGGAGCUGCGAGCUUUGCUACCAGUGACUGCCAUAUCCUGUGCAUCCCAUUGCUGCUUUACGCAACACCGAGGCUGGAUCAGUCAGGGCACCAUUGACUGCAUACCGGCUCAUGUAUGAAGACUACAGUAUGGUGCGUGUGUGUGUGUGCUAUUGCUGUCGGUAUUGCUGUCGCUCUUAUUCAUGUCUCUGGCCUAUGCUUUGCUCAGGGAUUGCCGAUUUAUUUCCAAUCUCGGUGUUGUCCUUUGGAACCCAGAGGCCAGCUUCGCUGCCCCCCUCACCCUUUGUGCUACCAUACUAGUUGUGUUAUAGGCACAGUGGACUUAUCUCCCCAAGUAUACGCCUUUAUCUCGUGAGACUGAAAUGCUAUCAAGCAAGCUCUA